GAUGAACGCUAGCGGGAGGCCUAAUACAUGCAAGUCGAACGGUAACAGGGUAGCAAUACCGCUGACGAGUGGCGCACGGGUGAGUAACACGUACACAAUCUGCCUUAUACUGGAGCAUACCCCCAAGAAAUUGGGACUAAUUCUCCAUAACAUAUUGAAAAGGACAUCUUUUUAAUUAUUAAAACUACAGGUGGUAUAAGAUGAGUGUGCGUCUGAUUAGCUAGUUGGUAAGGUAACGGCUUACCAAGGCAACGAUCAGUAACUGGUCUGAGAGGAUGAUCAGUCACACGGACACUGAGACACGGGUCCGACUCCUACGGGUGGCUG
rnacentral:rRNA from 1 species